rnacentral:rRNA from 1 species
GAUGAACGCUGGCGGCGUGCCUAAUACAUGCAAGUCGAGCGAACGGACGAGAAGCUUGCUUUUCUGAUGUUAGCGGCGGACGGGUGAGUAACACGUGGAUAACCUACCUAUAAGACUGGGAUAACUUCGGGACACCGGCGCUAAUACCGGAUAAUAUUUUGAACCGCAUGGUUCAAAAGUGAAAGACGGUCUUGCUGUCACUUAUAGAUGGAUCCGCGCUGCAUUAGCUAGUUGGUAAGUUAACGGCUUACCAAGGCAACGAUGCAUAGCCGACCUGAGAGGGUGAUAGGCCACACUGGAACUGAGACACGGUCCAGACGCCUACGGGAGGCAGCAGUAGGGAAUCUGACGCAAUGGGCGAAAGCCUGACGGAGCAACGCCGAGUGAGUGAUGAAGGUCUUCGGAUCGUAAAACUCUGUUAUUAGGGAAGAACAUAUGUGUAAGGAAAUGUGCACAGCUUGACGGUACCGAAUCAGAAAGCCCCGGCUAACUACGUG